rnacentral:rRNA from 1 species
UGCGAACUCCUACGGGAGGCAGCAGUGGGGAAUUUUGGACAAUGGGGGCAACCCUGAUCCAGCAAUGCCGCGGGAGUGAAGAAGGCAUUGGGGUUGUAAACCUCUUUUGUCAGGGAAGAAACGGUAGUAGCUAAUAUCUAUUACUAAUGACGUGACCUGAAGAAUAACCACCGCCUAACUACGUGCCAGCAGCCGCGGUAAUACGUAGGGUGCAAGCGUUAAUCGGAAUUACUGGGCGUAAAGCGUGCGCAGGCGGUUGUGUAAGUCAGAUGUGAAAUCCCCGGGCUCAACCUGGGAAUUGCAUUUGAGACUGCACGGCUAGAGUGUGUCAGAGGGGGGUAGAAUUUCACGUGCAGCAGUGAAAUGCGUAGAUAUGUGGAGGAAUACCGAUGGCGAAGGCAGCCCCCUGGGAUAACACUGACGCUCAUGCACGAAAGCGUGGGGAGCAAACAGGAUUAGAUACCCGAGUAGUCCAGAUG